rnacentral:rRNA from 1 species
UACAGAGGGGGCAAGCGUUAUUCGGAAUUAUUGGGCGUAAAGGGCGCGUAGGCGGCUUUGCAAGUGACGGGUGAAAUCCCUCGGCUUAACCGAGGAACUGCCUGUCAGACUGCAUGGCUUGAGACCGGGAGAGGUGAGUGGAAUUCCCAGUGUAGCGGUGAAAUGCGUAGAUAUUGGGAGGAACACCAGUAGCGAAGGCGGCUCACUGGACCGGUACUGACGCUGAGGCGCGAAAGCGUGGGGAGCAAACAGG